rnacentral:rRNA from 1 species
GAAGUGCGAAUGCUGACAUGAGUAGCGAUAAUGCGGGUGAAAAGCCCGCACGCCGUAAGCCCAAGGUUUCCUGUUCAACGUUCAUCGGAGCAGGGUGAGUCGGCCCCUAAGGCGAGGCAGAGAUGCGUAGCUGAUGGGAAGCAGGUUAAUAUUCCUGCACCGUCGUAUGAUGCGAUGGGGGGACGGAUCGCGGAAGGUUGUCCAACUGUUGGAAUAGUUGGUUUUUGGCUCAUAGGAGGUACUUAGGCAAAUCCGGGUACAGAAUCCAAGGGGUUGAGACGAGCGGCCUUGUGCUGCGAAGCAAUCGGAAGUGGUUCCAAGAAAAGCCUCUAAGCUUCAGUCAUACGAGACCGUACCGCAAACCGACACAGGUGGGCGAGAUGAGUAUUCUAAGGCGCUUGAGAGAACUCGGGAGAAGGAACUCGGCAAAUUGGUACCGUAACUUCGGGAUAAGGUACGCCCUAGUAGUUUGACCACUUUACUGUGGAAGGAUGAACGGGUUGCAAUAAAAUGGUGGCUGCGACUGUUUAAUAAAAACACAGCACUCUGCAAACACGAAAGUGGACGUAUAGGGUGUGACGCCUGCCCGGUGCUGGAAGAUUAAAUGAUGGGGUGCAAGCUCUUGAUUGAAGUCCCAGUAAACGGCGGCCGUAACUAUAACGGUCCUAAGGUAGCGAAAUUCCUUGUCGGGUAAGUUCCGACCUGCACGAAUGGCGUAACGAUGGCCACACUGUCUCCUCCCGAGACUCAGCGAAGUUGAAAUGUUUGUGAUGAUGCAAUCUACCCGCGGCUAGACGGAAAGACCCCAUGAACCUUUACUGUAGCUUUGCAUUGGACUUUGAAUCAAUCUGUGUAGGAUAGGUGGGAGGCUUUGAAGCGGGGACGCCAGUUCUCGUGGAGCCAUCCUUGAAAUACCACCCUGGUUCAUUUGAGGUUCUAACCUUGGUCCGUUAUCCGGAUCGGGGACAGUGCAUGGUAGGCAGUUUGACUGGGGCGGUCUCCUCCUAAAGUGUAACGGAGGAGUUCGAAGGUACGCUAGGUACGGUCGGACAUCGUGCUAAUAGUGCAAUGGCAUAAGCGUGCUUAACUGCGAGACCGACAAGUCGAGCAGGUACGAAAGUAGGACAUAGUGAUCCGGUGGUUCUGUAUGGAAGGGCCAUCGCUCAACGGAUAAAAGGUACUCUGGGGAUAACAGGCUGAUUCCUCCCAAGAGUUCAUAUCGACGGGGGAGUUUGGCACCUCGAUGUCGGCUCAUCACAUCCUGGGGCUGUAGCCGGUCCCAAGGGUAUGGCUGUUCGCCAUUUAAAGUGGUACGUGAGCUGGGUUUAAAACGUCGUGAGACAGUUUGGUCCCUAUCUGCCGUGGGCGUUGGAAAUUUGAAGGGGGCUGCUCCUAGUACGAGAGGACCGGAGUGGACGAACCUCUGGUGUACCGGUUGUCACGCCAGUGGCAUUGCCGGGUAGCUAAGUUCGGAAGAGAUAACCGCUGAAAGCAUCUAAGCGGGAAACUUGCCUUGAGAUGAGAUUUCCCGGAGCCUUGAGCUCCUUGAAGGGUCGUUCGAGACCAGGACGUUGAUAGGCUGGGUGUGGAAGUGCAGUAAUGCAUUAAGCUAACCAGUACUAAUUGCCCGUACGGCUUGUCCCU